GACGAACGCUGGCGGCGUGCUUAACACAUGCAAGUCGAGCGGUAAGGCCCUUUCGGGGGUACGACGAGCGGCGAACGGGUGAGUAACACGUGGGUGACCUGCCCUCAGCUCUGGGAGUAAGCCCGGGAAACUGGGUCUAAUACCGGAUAUGACUCCAUGACGCAUGUUGUGGGGUGGAAAGCCUUGUGCGGCUGAGGAUGGGCCCGCGGCCUAUCAGCUUGUUGGUGGGGUGAUGGCCACCAAGGCGACGACGGUAGCCGGCCUGAGAGGGCGACCGGCCACACUGGGACUGAGAUACGGCCCAGACUCCUACGGGAGGCAGCAGUGGGGAAUCUUGCGCAAUGGGCGAAAGCCUGACGCAGCGACGCCGCGUGAGGGAUGACGGCCU
rnacentral:rRNA from 1 species